AAAUGGAUCCGAAGCCUCUCGAAGGAUAAUUGAGGGCUACUCCUACUUACAUGUCUCUACAAAUAUCUGAGCUCGGGUAUUCAGGGAAAUCCAACCCUUUGGGAGUAUGAUACGGCUGAAUUGAGAGGA
rnacentral:ribozyme from 1 species